ACACGUACGGGACAGCAGCAGCAGAAGCGCUGGACUUGGGGUCGGUGUCCUCGCUUGCCAUGUCGUCGAGGAGGUUGUGGACGUCGGGGAAGAAGUCAUCGGCGACCGGAUCGUCCGUGAUGAAGCAGCUAAUAGUCGCGCUGAGCGCUCCCCGAAAACCUUAUAGUCGCGCUGCGACGGGAGGUGAAGCGAACAGGCAGCGGCCGAAGAGGCGCGCCGUUCGAAUUCAGUGUCCACUACAGAAAACGUUUCAACUCCCACGUGACCUUUCGUAUACCUGUCGUGCGUGGCAAAAAUUUAGACAUCGGCUCAUUCCCGCAACCCGCGGCGCGCCGUGGCGUGGCGAGGCGGGCGGAGGAGGAGGAGCGCGCGUGGAUGUCCCUCUUGUUCUCAUGCUCAUACAUGUGGGGAAAGAACCUCCCUUAUAAAGAGGUCCAACUCCCUCUAAACUAGCAAUGUGGGACUAAACAUUUGUUCCACCUCUUGCCUUGCACAAAUGGGCUGCAUGGGCCUCUAGGAUUUAUUGGGAAUUUCUGAAACUGCUAUUGGGCUAGGCCCAAAAUAGACAAAAUUCCAGCAGAUACAAUCCCCUGUUUCAGCUUACUUUUUCUGAAAAAUUUGUAAUCCUGGAGAACAUACUGGAAGCUGAUGUUGUAGCAUUCCAGUGUUGCAUUGCAUAUAUUUGCAUACGAGUUACUGCCAUGUCAUGUUAAUGUCAAUAGCCAUUGGUAGGCAAGCUGCUUCUUAUAGUGACUAAUUGUGGCUCUGCCAGGUUUCUCUGCAGUGGCGGUGUGCAGUGAGAAGUAUGAUGGGCCAAACAGAUAGUUCUUGUUCACAGUGGUUCAAAUUAAACGUUUUAAUUAUAGAUUUUUGUCCCCCUUGUUUUAGUCGAUGUUAAGAAGAGCUUCUUUUGUGUUAAAAAUGUAUAGAACCUGAUAUAAUUCCAUAACUAAGCUUGAUGCUUAACCCAGAUAAGAUUUGUGUAUCUGUUUAGGGAUUUGUUAUAACCAAAUGAAGAAAAGGAUUCGGUUAUUCUAAAAAUAUGUCCAGCAAUAUAUAGGUUAUUGGGAAGGCUCUUUGCAAGCAUAAAGUGAAUCUCUAAUAGUCGACUUCUUAAUAUAGGUUGGCAAGUACACUUGUUUAUAUUUCUGAAAAUAUAUUACCAUUGUAGAUUCUGAUGAAAAAUAUAUUCUCCGCCAGCCAUGGAUUCAGGUAUGUUAAUAUGGGCAAAGGAAAGUCAAGAUAUUUAUCUCAGGGAAAUAUUAUGAAAUCAGUGAAGCUGUAUAGUAUGUACUGGACUGAUUGUGACACUGCUCAUAUUGUUACCACAUCAACUUGAUUCAUCUCCUUUAUCUAACAAUCACAAGAUAAGUCAACAGAAUAUACCACAUCAACCCUGUUCCAUGAAGCAAAAUUAGUUCAUUAAGGAUCUCUAAAUUUAAGAGGGGACAGUCUCGCGUGAUUCAGUACAUUUGUUUGUUCGUAGCUGAUUGUCUUGUGCAUUCACACUAGUGAAAGGAAGAUGGAUGAAGAAGGGGAAAUUAGUAGCAGCAUCACCAUUGAUUGCCCUCCUCGUAGAAUUAUAUGUUGGUGUGAGCUCAGUUUGAUUUGGCCUGGUUUUGAUGUCUCUGCUGUGUGUGUGCGUGCAGGUGCUAAAGUCGUCCGAUCCAACUCACGUGGAGGCCAAGGAGGUUCGGCUCUCGGACAUUGCACCAAUAACGUUGGAUGAUACCGGCGUGCGUACUGUCGAGGGUCUGAUAAUGGACAUAACACAGCUACUGGAGAGGAGAUUAAAAUAUGGAAGAUAGCAACAGAGGGGGAAGCUGAGGCUGGUAGAUCCAUUGAGCAAGAGUGCCAGACCCAGGUGUGUUUAUAAUUGAGUUGUUUGUAAGACCAAUGCUGCAUGGAUGGUUGCACUCAGAGUCUCUGUAGUUAUUUAGCUGAAGGUGUGCAUGAGUUUGAGCUAUAUAUUAUUUUUGUAGUUUUAGCUUUAGAACCAUGAAAAUUGUCCCUUUUUAUAAAUAACUUCAUGUGGAGAAAUAUUGUUUUUGAGGGAAACAAGGUCAAGAAUUCUCAUUAGUGGUUGGCAGUGGUAAUAUAAUAAGUUCGCAUUUUAUACCAGCUAGCAAGACUUCACAGAACCGCUGCCUCAAACUUCAGAGAAGAUGAGCAUGAAUGAUUAUUUUGGUUGCAACUCCAACAACACGUGCAUCAUAUUUCGGUGAAUCCGGUAGCUUAUGCAGCCCAUAAUUAGUUUCCCGGCAGACUGAUGAUUGGGAGAAGUACAUAGAAUGCCCCUGUAUAGGUGCGUACAGAAUGACGAUUGGGAGUUUUCUGAAGGUUAGAAGUCCAGCAUAUUAGUAUCUUCAUUUUCCAACAGACUAAAAGGAUAUAAGUUUUGGUUGUGUGCCCAUUUGUGUGCACAUGGGUAAAAGAUCCUUGAGAUUUUCGUUGUUUUAGAUCUCUCAUGCACCUUGAGCUAGCAAUCCAACCUACAAUAUUACUUUUCGUAUGAACAAAGCUCAAAAGAAAAUAUUUUGAAUAUUGUCCUGUCAUUCUUGUGAAUCUGCACCUUAAAGUUAUAAUUUCUGCUGUGGUGAGGUUCUGAAUCCAGAAAGUGAAGAGCAAGCUUGAUGGAUAUAUCUGAAGAUGACAUACAGUAUGGUCUUCCCGUGCUUGUUUUGUUUUAAUUUCAAUAAAGAACACAUUCCUGCCAAAUAGGUCUUUAUUUUUAUGCCUAAAAGUAUGUGCUUUCUAGAAUAAGCUCCAUGAUAUAUAAGCAUUUCCUGUGUUGAAUGCUCCUAAAUUAUAGCACACAUUUGCAGGUUCAUAUAUGCAUACUAUACAAUUGUGGUAGAAGCACUUGUUCUUAUUCUUUUGUCUAAUUAGAGUUUUAAAUUAGUAUGGCAGAUGAUUUCUCUAGCUCCAUAUUAGUUACAAAAUAUGAGUUGUGAAGAGACAAAUUUCUAGCAUUUGCUUCAAAUCUUAUAUAAUUUUUUAAAUAGAUCCCAAAACUAUUUAAUCAGAUGCUACUCGCACAUUUUUCUGUUUUACUAGAUGACGGUGCUCACAAAUAUCAGGCUACUAUAUUCGGCCUACGAUAGAGUAUCUUCAUGAAGUGCUUCUGAUAUUCCAUUGUGUUUAGUAGAUGACGGUAAAUCAUUUUGAACUGUUGUGUUUUCGGUGGCACCUAAAUACAUUGGUCGAUCUGCACCAUGCUCUGCUCCUAUUGACUGGUGAUCACAAAUCAAAACCCAAUCUUAGAUCUAUUUGAUUUGUUUCGUUUAGUGUUGGAUGGUGCCAAUUAAAGAAAUUGUACUGCCAUUCAUCAAUUUACUAAUCAGUCUGGCCUGAAUUCAUGACUUCUGUGUGUGAGAGAAUCUGUGCUCGAAUGCGUUGUCACCUGGACUUUAAAUUUUAUCCAAUGGUCUGGUCAUCAUUCCGUUGGCUGUUUGACUGGAGCUCAUAGGAGGAGAUGAAUCUAACUGAAUCUUCUUAGCUUAGAAACAAAAGUCGUUCUCUUGAUGAACAAAGAACUAUUGCUGUUAAUUUGUCAGGCAUUGUGUUCCUUCUUGUACUGUAAAUAUAGUUUAAACAUAUUCACAGUUUUACAUAUGUUCACACUAUUAUUAAUAAAAAAAAUAUGUUCGCACAUAAAAAAAGCAAAAAAAUCCAAAAAAUGUUCCCUAUUUAUUAAAAAAUAUUUCCACUUAAAAAUGUACAACAAAAAACAAACAAAACAAUAUUAUUUUUAAACAUCUGUUCAAACAAUGUUCCUUUUUAGAUAGAUGAUCCAAUUUCUUAAAAAUAAUUUACCUACUCUUUAAAAAGUAUUCCAUUUUUUUGAAAACAUUAACUUUUAUUAAAAAUAAGAAAAUUUCCAUGUUUAACAUUAUCAUCGACAUUUAUUAAAAUUGGAUAUAAAUAGUGCACAAUGCACAUGAAGCAGGUAUAUUUUUUCGCCCCGUGCAACGCAUGGGCAUUUGUACUAGUAAUAUUUAUUAUUAUUAUUAUUAUUAUUAUUAUUAUUAUUAUUAUUAUUAUUAUUAUUAUUAUUAUAUUAAUAAUAAUAUAAAUAUUUAUAUUAUAUUAUAUUAUAUUAUAUUAUAUUAUAUUAUAUUAAUAUUAAUAUUAAUAUUAAUAUUAAUCUUUAUCUUUACCUACUCUUUACCUACUAAUAAACCACGCAUCGCUUCUGGUGGUACGUCGCUGGCAUUUUUGCACAAAAGUCCCUGUUUUUACUGAUAUUCAAGUCGCAGUCCUAUUUUAAGUGGUUAAUCAGGAAAACGCUUCGUUUUUACACAAAACACCCUACCAUUUGGAGUAAUCAACCCGCGAUCCGAACAGAUUUGUAAAAAAAAACACGGCCAGAAACUGACCACGAACUCCUCUCCCUCUCUCCCUCUCGCCCACGAACUCCUCGGCACCAACACCACCCGCGCCGCCGGCUUCCGGCGAGCUCCGACGCCGCGCAGCACGCCCCCAAGCCCCCCACGAUCCGCGCCUCCCUCCCCUCCUUCCAGAUUCUCCGUUCCCGGCCUCUAACGUCCGCUCGCAACCAAACCCCCGUGGCUAGGGUUUCGGGCUGGGCUUCGCCGGCGCGUCUCCGGCGGCCCCAGAUGCAGAUGGAGCACGCCAUGGGAGUUCCCCAUCCACCACGGUCACCGCCGUCAAGUGCUUCUUCACGGAGAUGUGAAGGACGCCAAGGACAUGCAGCUACUCAAGGUUUUAUCUUGUCCCCAUCCUAUCCCCUCCCCUUGCCGCCCCUUCUUCAUUGGAUGACCAGAUGCACAACCACAUAUGUUUUUUGAUUCAGGCUCAUAGGGUCUAGAUUUGAAUGUAAAACUACCUGACUUUACCAUUAACAGAUUGGAAGCACGAUUAUCGCUGCAAUUUUUUUAGUCAUGGCAUAUUUUCUCUUAUAUGUGUUUGUUGAUGAUUAAUCAUCAAAGGUUAUACGCGUGUUUCGUCCCAAGCACAAGUCCUUCUUUCACAUAUCCCUUUUGUCAUAUGUCUUCUUGAUGCAAAGAGGCUCAGCUUGCUACUGAUGGAUUGCAGCUUACCAAAUUUGAUUUGGUUUGGUACAAUGGAUGUUUGGUAUUGAUGUUGAAAGAAUACUUCACUUUCUGUAAUUUCUGAUGUUCAGAUUAUACCGAAUGAAUGCUACCAGAUUCCAUAUUUGUUCUAGAGAUAUUAUUGAUCUUUUCAUGCACCAAUUGUUCAAGUAGUGUCUUUCCGCUAAAAGCUUUAUAUUGCCCUGUGUGUCCUUUUGUCCGUACCUUUUUCCAGUAAUUUUCUCUGUUAACCUUGGGCCAGCUCAUUUGUGUGUGCUUCAUGUAUAUGCUCAUGCUUUUGAUGCUGCUGGACUUUGGAAUGCAUCCGCACAGUAACUUUCUGGGUAUGACAUAUUCACUCUUAACUAAGAAAUGCUACAGCUGAUUCCUGAUAAUUAUCAGUACACAAUGUAUUAAGUUGCCUUCGCUAUAGGUAUGCUUGCAUUCAGGUUGUCAUUAGUUACGAGAUGGUACAUCAGUGUCUCCACUCUAAAGAUGAAUAUAAUACGCCAAAAGUAAGUGUCUGAUCCCAGCUUCUUUUAUUGUGGAUUGUGGGUACGGUGAGCAAUACAUUGAUUCACAAGUACGUCUUGCAGCAUAGAAAUUAUUCCGUUCAAAGUGAAUGACACGGCGUAAAUCAAACAUGCGCUGAGCCUACUAAUGCGACUACCAGUACUGUUGCACUACUAGAACCCAAUGGCAUGAUGGUGCAGCAAAUAUGGUUUUUUAUUAGAUAGUUUUCUGCACUGUAUAUGUGAUGAAUUCACAAAUUUAUGAUUUUGAGGUACUGGUGAAGGUAGAUUCAAAUGAGUGAUGCAAAUUCAGAAUUGCAUAGGUAGUGCCUACGACUGACUAAGGGUACAUGAGUUGGAAGAAAGUCCAAGCAGAAGGAACUCCUGCAGAUGCCCAGGCUGCUACUGUGCCUAUCUUAAGGGUGAUCUUGACCUGAUUUUGCUUUCGAACUGAAUUGUGGUAAUCAAGCAGGGAGACAAGACGCUGUUGAGCUGUUUUUCGGUAGAUUUGAGCUACCUAGAGUUGAGCUAGGCACCAGACGAGCAGAAGCACAAACGUAGGAGGUAUCCAACAACGGCAACCGCAACGCCAUUCCACUUAAACCUGGAGACCAGAGAAAGGAUGCGAGUUCUAGGAAAAUUUACAUUGAAAUUUGUCACAUGCAAACUGGAGGAAGGGGCAAUAAGCAGAGAAUUCCCCGCAAGAUGUGAACUGCAUUGAUGCCCUCGGUAUGUGUGUUGCUACUGCUGAAUGAUGCUCCCUUGUCGUUGUUGCUAUAGUACGAUUUAGUACAGCUUGUCUAAAUGGGUUAGAAGAGGGGUUAUGAAAUGUUUUGUUGGAGUUUAAAUAUUCUUUCAUGUAUUAAACUGAUAAGUUGUGCACUUUUGCUGCUGUUAGAUAAACUGACUACUCUGUACUGUUGGAUAGCCAUGGUAUGUGUUAGUUUUAUUUUACCACAAAAGUUUCUUGGGAGUUGGCAUAUCAGGUGUAUUCAUUACUUUUCCUAUGAAUAUAUUCUAUUUUGGUGCACUAUAUAUCUAUCUAAUCUAUCUAUCCAAGUUUUCAAAGGAAUUGAUGGCGGCGGCUCGACCAUGUCGUGGUGAAUGGCGAAGCUUCGAAACUGAACAUGAGAAAGGUGUUGACGCGCGGCUGGGAGACGUACAUACUUGAGGAAAUAUGAUUCAUAAGGUUUCAUAUUAACGAAAACUGAUAAUCUGAACAUUUUGUUUAUUCCUGGAUGACUUUAUUCUCCAAUAUGAAUAUGUAAGAAAAGAUAUGACAUACAUUUGUGUAAAUUGAUAAUGUAGGGUCAUCUCGAAACUUUAUUAUUUUUUCAAGAUUGAUUUACUUGGUGGUGUUAACUUCCAUUUUCUCGAAACAGGACAUGUGUUCUAUUUCUGAAAAAAGAAGCUUCUCUGUUAGCUAGCAUCCCCGACGGUACUUUUAGACUGGAUGUAGACCAGUAGGGUCAAUUAAAAAUUGUUGGCUAUAGAUGACUUUAAGUUUCUAGCUUUCAUAAAAUGUAGACGUGUACGUACUCUAACAGUAUGUCGUGGUUGAUGAUGGUCCUAUGUACUGGUUGAAAUUAUCAUGUUGGAUAAUAUUGCUUAUAUGUUGUGGUUGAUGGUGGUCCUAUGUACUGGUUGAAAUUAUCAUGUUGGAUAAUAUUGCUUUUACUAGCAGUUGCCGUGCUCUUAUUAUUUUAUUUCCACAAAUAUAAUCAUGUUUUGCUAUUGAUGUAAUGCUAUGUUCCUUGACUGAAAUCAAACCCUUUAGUCGCUGAUGUGGUGCUCUUAUUAUUGUUAUAUUCCUUCACUGAAAGCAAACCUUGUUCAUGGCUAACUUAUAGAAUAGCAGAUGCAGAGUUCAAAAAGCAUCAAGCUCAGGAACACUCUAGCCAUGUAUUUGAUUCUGUUGAAGACCCAAUAUAUAAUGAGUGAUGCGGGCCUGUUUGGAUCGCAGCCGCGGGACGCCCUGCCAAUUUUUUGGCGUUGACCGCUACCAGGGGCGUUCGUUUGGAUUGACGCCUAUGUUUCGUAGCCACGCCAAAUUUUUGGUAUUUCUGUUAAGUUUCGAUGCCCAUGCGUUGGCGAGAUCUUGGUGGCAAAAUUGCUCGCCAACUUUUUGGUGUGGCUGACUUUGGCGGGGCUGAUUGGGGCGCAAUCCAAACGCCCCCUGCAUCCCCUGAUGUUGAGCUAUAUGGACCAUAUGAGCAGAACCACGGUGACUAACAUACGAGUCAAUAGAAUUCAUAAAGUUGCAGUUUAUUUGCUCUAUUCAAUAAUGGCUUCAGUUUCAAUGCAAAUCGUUAACUGGACUUCCCUGAUUGCGGUGGUGUGUAUUAUUCUGCAAAAAAGUAGUAUCGUCGCCUUUUAAUGUUUUCAUUCACAUCCAUGGUCAUAUAUGUUGCUUUGACGAAACAGUUUAUCAACAUCAAUUGUAGCUGGCAGGGCUCGUGAUGGACAAGGCGAACGCAGCGGAUAGGGCACCAAAGGGGGGUGUGGUUGCAGCGGCAUAGAGCACUUCGACAAAGGAGACUUGAGAAUGGGGACGAUAAGGAAGAUGAGUUUGUGCUUCCUUCUAUCUAAGUCAACUGUGAAGAUGUAAAAAAAUGCCCUAAAAAUAAGUUUAAAAAUCUUCACAGUUUUCAUAUCUUCACAAAUUUUUUGUUUCAAAACAAUAUGUUCGCACUUUCUAAAAGAGCUUAAUUUUUUUCCAAAAGCAAAGUUCCAUUUUUACCAUUUUCCCCAUUUACAAAUGAAAAAAACAUUCUUAAAAGAAAACAUCAAUUCAAAAAAUGUUCUUUAAUAAAAACAUUAACUAAUCUUAAAUAAGUGUUCCAAUUUUUAUGAAAAUGUUAACUUUUGUUAAAAAUAAAAAAGUUCCAUGUUUAACCUUUUAUUGUUGUUUAUUAAAAUUGAAUAUAAAAAUGAUGCACAAUGGCAUAUGAAGCAGGUUGUGCCUUUUACCUACUAAUAAACCAGCUAUUGCUUCUGGUCGUCCGUCGUGGUUGUUUGGCAAAAAAGCCCCUCGGUUUAAAGGAAAUCAACCCGCGCUCCCUGUUUAAGUGGAUCUGAGAAAACGCUUCGUUUUUUCACAAAACACCCUGUCAUUUGAAGCAUUCAACCCACGGUCCGAGCAGAUUUGUGUAAAGGAAAAAAACGCGACCACAAGAGGGAGCACGGGCUCGCCUCCUCUCCCUCAUCGCCGCCGCCGCCACCACCCACGCCGUCCGCUUCCGGCGACCUCCAACGCCGUGCAGCACGCCCCCGAGCUCUCCACGGUCCGCGCCUCCCUCCCCUCCGGCUAUAUUCUCCUCUCCCGUCUUCUACCACCCGCUCGCCCGUGACUAGGGUUUCGGGCAGGGCUUCGUCGGAGCCACGAGAGCCAUGAGCGUGACGGAGGCUGGGGAAAGAAUGGAAACACUACUGCUCGCAAUGACAGGAUGGUGCUGUGCGUGCGCCGCCCCAAGGCCGCAACUGCUUCCUCCAGUCGUCCCUCCUCCAUGGCUACAUCUUGGUGAGAUCCCUUCCACCCAAGCCUCUCCCCCUUUCUUUUUUAAAACUGAUUCCCAAUUCCUUGAUCAAACCAUGCUCCUCUGCUCCUGUAGGUCUCGCUUAGCUACCAGUACAGUGCAGAUUGCUUUCUUUAUUCAAUUGAUUUUGUUGUCUAUGUAUUACCUGAACUCCAAGGGAACCAACUUACAUGGCGUAAUGGAUGGAGGUGUUAUUGGGGCUUAUUUUUUCAUGAUUGGAAACAAGAUGUUGCUGGUGUUGGAGCUCAUAGAGAAUGGUAUUAUGAUAGUCUACUUACUUCUGAAGGUGCAUUAGAAGAUAAGUGGAUGUCCAGAUUCUUUGGCCUCAGAAAAGUGGUGAUAAAAAUCUUGAAGUAUUGUUAGCAUUUUCCUCUAAAAAUGGAAAGAGCAGAUACAAAGAAGAAGAGAACACAUUUGGGUACACCUACCAGGACAGUUUGUUCUACGUUUAUCUUGCUUUGGGGUUGCAGACCCUAACAUAUCAAGAUAGCUCUUGAUGGUACAACAUGACAUUGGCAGGAAUUAUCGAUGACUACUUUGAUGGGUAGUUUUCUGAAGAAAUGAUUGUCCCAGGUACUGUGAUGCUCGCAGUUCUAUCUUUUUCAGUGCUUGCAUAUGCCAUUGUGAUACAAGAUACUGCCAGAUUUUGCAAUGUCCAUGAUUCAGAUUGAACCAUGAUUGCUACUGCUGUUUCAGAUCAUAAACUUUGUCAUGGUUGAUUAAAUAGGCACAGCUUAUUUUAGUUGCAGACCCUAAUAUAUCAAGAAAGCAUUGCUACAAAUUUAGAAGUAGGAUGUAGUUUUUCAUAGUUCCUGUCAAGUAUGCUUAUUUGCAAUCUAGGAUCACAAUUGUAAGGUUAAUACUUUUAGUUGUGUAGCAUAGCAAAUCUCAGCUCUUGAAAAUUUUCCUACCAUACCAACACAUUUGGUAGGAUUUGCCUUAUUUUGUAAUGAGCAAACAAAAAAUGUUUUAAAUAUAACAAAUAAUUAUGUGCAGUAGUACAUGGUUGGAAAUUCCUUUCCUGUUCAAUGCAUAUUAGAGUGGAAUUUGUACUGUUUGGUAUGCAUUCACAGUCAACAUGGGGUGCUGAAGUAGUGUAAAUUGUUUGAAGUUGCCUUUUGGCCAGUAUAUUUGAAGUUGCCUUUUGGCCAAUAUAUAUAAGGAUGGAGUACUGUAUUGUUUGGUCUGCCUUUUUGGUCGGUAUCGUUGAAUCGACACCCUUAAGCUCUUUUUGGUUUCUAUUAUCCGUGAGCGCAUAUGAGCAUCGAUGAAAACUAUUCUCGGAUGAAACGUGAGCAUGCCUUGGUAUGAAGGACUGAUUUUUUUCAGCAUCCGGGGAAAGUUUUCCUGUUUUGAUUUUACAAUUUUGACUCUUCCCUUCCCCUGUUGAUGGUAAACAUUAACACGUAGUUGUAUACAUAUUUUGAAAAUCGAAAGUGGUUUUAACAUUUCACAUCAUGAUAUUGUAGUUUACGGUACUAAGCUUGACACUGCUCGGUGUGCUGUUGUUCUUCGUCAGCGUAGAGCUAGCCGUCGCCGCUAUGGUACAUGUACCCGUUGCCUCCGCUUGACGUAGUUCGCUAUGGAGAUAUACAUGGGAAAGUCGCGGCGGAGAUGCCCCACUUCAACCCGUGGAUCCGGGGUGAUUGUGGCGGUCAGCUGGUGACUGAGCUCAAAAUCCAGUUCAGCGUCAAUGGUUGUCUGCGCUCCAGUACGAGGAGUGGUGGCGCUUCGAGGAGACAGCUACGUGCCUUCGUCAGUUGUUUUGUGUACUACUUUUCACUUUCAGAAUCAAUUCGUGAUUCCAUAGUGAGUCAUUACGAACGAAAUUAUGGGGGGUUUUGCUCUAGGCAUCAGAUCAGGAAGCAACAAGCCGUCUCUUUGGUGGUAUCUUUGGUGCUCCAGUAGUGGAUAUUGCUGGAAUAGCUAAAGGACUUAGUUGUAACACUUGCUCUGAACUUUACUCAACAAGCAAGUUUUCCAAAAAUUGAAGUCAGAUUUUUUUCAGGGUUCCUAUACAUAUACACAAAUAGUAGGUAAAGAUAUAUUCUAGGACCUAUGGUGCCCAGCAAGCAUAAACAAAUUUAGCUUGCAGUUUUGUUAACGCUUCGCUAUGCUUUGGUACAAUGUUUAGGCGUAGUGCCAGUUUAUUGAUAAAUAACCCUCCGGCAAGGUUCAUAUCUAAGUCUUGGUUGAUCAACUAUUGCACGCCUAACUAAAAUCUUUCCUUCAGGAUGUUUUUUAGGUUUAAAAGACUUUUCAUUAAUCGCAUCAUUGUGCAUACAAAUGACGGACUGAAGUAGGCCAUGGACCCUCCCGUCUAAUAUAAAAAAUCCAUGAGAUCUAGCAUAGCUAGCUAGCCCAUGAUCUACUUGGUUACACUCUCUAUCAGGGAUGUGCAGCACUACUGAAAACGAAUCAUCUGCUCCCUAAUAUCCACAUACCCAACAAACAGUCUUGAUCUGCAGGUCCCAGUGAAUUGUAGCACCUCAAAAACUAUGAGCUGUCGAUUUUCAAGAUUACCGGGCCAGUUACCAUUCAUUUGGAUGAGUGAGAGCAAGAAACAGCCUCAGCUUUUGCUUCCUCGGUGGUGUCCGAGCACUGUCGGAGUUUAGUUCCCAGCGAAAACAACAUCUGUCCUUUGUACUAGAAUGGUUAUUCCUGUUGCAACGUACUCCUUAGUACUUCCCAUUAUCUAUGGAUAUGUAAUCUUAAUGAAAAUCGCAUGUUUCUGGAUAUCGUCAUGUAUGCAUCGCUUGAUUUUUCCACACACCAAAGUUUCUAUCAAUCAAUGUGUGCGCGGGUGAUUAGAUUAGAACAAAAAUACAGUUUUGAAAUUUGAUAAGGAGUCCUGAUGGACGUGUAUAUAUAUGCAUGUGUUGUUUAUAUUUGAAUCAAGAGAAAGUACAAAAACAAUA